UCAGGAGCACAUGGAGGCGGGCUGGAGCGCGCGCUCCCUGUAAUCUCAGGAGAUCCUGGAGGUGGGUGGGCGCGCGCUCGCUCAACAGCACCUGAGAAAAUGCCGACAGGAGCAAAAUAAUAUCACUUUGGUCAAGAGUAAAAGGCCUCGAUAAUCAUGAUCGGGUUAGUGAGGAACUGCACAGCCAGAGGUUGAUGUGCGGUCAGCCACAGAGCACGAGAUACAUUGUGGGAAACUAUAACCCAGCUGUGAAUUCUUAAGUGAUUUCGGCCCGAGACCUGUAGUAACGCCCUGUCAAGAUAUCGCGGCACCUUGAGAAUAGCCAGAGCUCAACUGCAGCCGGUCAGUGAUCUCAAUCUGCAUGUUCCAAUGUACGAGACAAGUUGCAAUGCAAUGCGAUAUUUGCAGUUAAACCUUAACCGAGAAGCGAAUGAAAUCCAAAGCAAAGAAAAAACUCAAAAACUCAUUUGUAAAAACGAGUCGGGAUACAAGGACCCCCUAUGGUCAGAAAACGAUUUAUCGACUUUGUGGUUAAUUUGAGUGAACCAGCAGUGUUCAGUAGCUCCCAACACGAGGAUGAAUGAGGAGGCUGUUGUGGGAAGAAGCGUCCAAUGUUCUGAACAUCCACUCUGCAAAAGCACAGUUUCCAGCACCAGGAGGCUGCGACAAAUAGGUGCCAAUAAGUUUGUUGCUCCAGGAAGUGGCAUAAUGCCUGCUUUAUUGAGGUCCCCUCAAUACUUGCUUGAGAAGGUCCUCAUUAUAAGAGAAAAGUUGCUAAAGCCAUUCUAUUCAACAUCCUGAUCUUCCUGUGCAUCCACCUCCUGUUGUCAAGAGAAUGAACCUUCAUCUCAUCUCCAUUAACAUUGCCUUCAAAUUCCAGAACAGGAAGCCUUUCUUAGUCACAAUAGAUAGAGUAUGGAGCAAGCUGCAAUGAUCCUGGUUGUGUUGUUUUGGCAGGGCUACUGUAACUUCUGCCACUGACUGGAAAGGAUUUUGGACUGGUUGUGCAUGCAUAUUAAACUUGUACUGCAGCUGUCAUUGCAUGCGUAACUGAUGCAAAAAUACUUCCUGUGCAUCAGUUUGCAUCACAAAAUUUAAAUGUCUGUCUAGUUCUAAGUAUUCAAGUCCCAGACUGAUUCACUGAAACUGACACUUUAACUGCACAUGUACAGGAAUGUGCUUGUCUUCAUUUUGUAGCACAAAUAAACUAAUUUGUUUAUAAAACCA